UCGCACGGUCAGCAAUGGCAGUGGCGGACGGGUGAGUAACACGUAGGAAUCUAUCCCAGGGNUGGGGGACAACAGCGGGAAACUGCUGCUAAUACCGCAUGAUACCUGAGGGUCAAAGGCGCAAGUCGCCUUGGGAGGAGCCUGCGUCUGAUUAGCUUGUUGGUGAGGUAAAGGCUCACCAAGGCUACGAUCAGUAGCUGGUCUGAGAGGAUGAUCAGCCACAUUGGGACUGAGACACGGCCCANACUCCUACGGGAGGCAGCAGUGGGGAAUAUUGGGACAUGGGCGAAAGCCUGAUCCCAGCAUGCCGCGUGUGUGAAGAAGGUCUNCGGAUNGUAAAGCACUUUUGGCAGGGACGAUGAUGACGGUACCUGCANAAUUAGCCCGGGCUAACUUCGUG
rnacentral:rRNA from 1 species